GAUGAACGCUGGCGGCGUGCCUAAUACAUGCAAGUCGAGCGAACAGAUAAGGAGCUUGCUCCUUUGACGUUAGCGGCGGACGGGUGAGUAACACGUGGGUAACCUACCUAUAAGACUGGAAUAACUCCGGGAAACCGGGGCUAAUGCCGGAUAACAUUUAGAACCGCAUGGUUCUAAAGUGAAAGAUGGUUUUGCUAUCACUUAUAGAUGGACCCGCGCCGUAUUAGCUAGUUGGUAAGGUAACGGCUUACCAAGGCAACGAUACGUAGCCGACCUAAGAGGGUGAUCGGCCACACUGGAACUGAGACACGGUCCAGACUCCUACGGGAGGCAGCAGUAGGGAAUCUUCCGCAAAGGGCGAAAGCCUGACGGAGCAACGCCGCGUGAGUGAUGAAGGUCUUCGGAUCGUAAAACUCUGUUAUUAGGGAAGAACAAAUGUGUAAGUAACUGUGCACGUCUUGACGGUACCUAAUCAGAAAGCCACGGCUAACUACGUG
rnacentral:rRNA from 1 species